rnacentral:rRNA from 1 species
UACGUAGGGUGCAAGCGUUGUCCGGAAUUACUGGGCGUAAAGCGCGCGUAGGCGGCUUUGUAAGUUAGAGGUGAAAGCCCGGGGCUCAACCCCGGAACUGCCUUUAAGACUGCAUCGCUUGAAUCCAGGAGAGGUGAGUGGAAUUCCGAGUGUAGAGGUGAAAUUCGUAGAUAUUCGGAAGAACACCAGUGGCGAAGGCGGCUCACUGGACUGGUAUUGACGCUGAGGUGCGAAAGCGUGGGGAGCAAACAGG